GACGAACGCUGGCGGCGUGCUUAACACAUGCAAGUCGAGCGGAAAGGCCACUUCGGUGGUACUCGAGCGGCGAACGGGUGAGUAACACGUGAGUAAUCUGCCCUUGGCUUUGGGAUAGCCACCGGAAACGGUGAUUAAUACCGGAUACGACCACUUCUCGCAUGGGAUGGUGGUGGAAAGUUGUUUCGGCCAGGGAUGUGCUCGCGGCCUAUCAGCUUGAUGGUGAGGUAAUGGCUCACCAUGGCUUCGACGGGUAGCCGGCCUGUGAGGGUGACCGGGCACACUGGGACUGGGACACGGCCCAGACUCCUACGGGAGGCAGCAGUGGGGAAUAUUGGACAAUGGGCGGAAGCCUGAUCCAGCAACGCAGCGUGAGGGAUGACGGCCUUCGGGUUGUAAACCUCUUUCAGCAGGGACGAAGCGCAAGUGACGGUACCUGCAGAAGAAGCACCGGCCAACUACGUGACAGCCGCCGCGGUAAAAC
rnacentral:rRNA from 1 species